rnacentral:rRNA from 1 species
CCUACGGGAGGCAGCAGUGAGGAAUAUUGGUCAAUGGACGAGAGUCUGAACCAGCCAAGUAGCGUGAAGGAUGACUGCCCUAUGGGUUGUAAACUUCUUUUAUAAAGGAAUAAAACGAGGCACGUGUGCCUUUUUGCAUGUACUUUAUGAAUAAGGAUCGGCUAACUCCGUGCCAGCAGCCGCGGUAAUACGGAGGAUCCGAGCGUUAGCCGGAUUUAUUGGGUUUAAAGGGAGCGUAGAUGGGUUGUUAAGUCAGUUGUGAAAGUUUGCGGCUCAACCGUAAAAUUGCAAUUGAUACUGGCAGUCGUGAGUACAGUUGAGGUAGGCGGAAUUCGUGGUGUAGCGGUGAAAUGCUUAGAUAUCACGAAGAACCCCGAUUGCGGAGGCAGCUUACUAAACUGUGACUGACAUUGAUGCUCGAAAGUGUGGGUAUCAAACAGGAUUAGAUACCCUAGUAGUC